UCUUCAUUUCACGUACUCUCUCGCCUAUCUGAUCGGUGAGAGAGUGUGGGAAAUGAGGAGA
rfam:Pristionchus pacificus strain PS312 contig2005, whole genome shotgun sequence.